AUUGAACGCUGGCGGCAUGCCUUACACAUGCAAGUCGAACGGCAGCAUGGAGAGCUUGCUCUCUGAUGGCGAGUGGCGAACGUGUGAGUAAUGCAUCGGAACGUACCGUGUAAUGGGGGAUAACGUAGCGAAAGUUACGCUAAUACCGCAUACGACCUGAGGGUGAAAGCAGGGGAUCGCAAGACCUUGCGUUAUACGAACGGCCGAUGUCAGAUUAGCUAGUUGGUGAGGUAAAGGCUCACCAAGGCGACGAUCUGUAGCGGGUCUGAGAGGAUGAUCCGCCACACUGGGACUGAGACACGGCCCAGACUCCUACGGGAGGCAGCAGUGGGGAAUUUUGGACAAUGGGGGCAACCCUGAUCCAGCCAUGCCGCGUGAGUGAAGAAGGCCUUCGGGUUGUAAAGCUCUUUCGGCCGGGAAGAAAUCGCACAGGCUAAUACUCUGUGUGGAUGACGGUACCGGCAUAAGAAGCACCGGCUAACUACGUGCCAGCCGCCGCAGUAA
rnacentral:rRNA from 1 species